rnacentral:sRNA from 1 species
UCCUACAAAGUUACGCAGAGGGGUGGAAAGAAGGGACCUGGGAAGAGAAGGUGGACGAGCGGCCGUGUAUUGAUCAGCUCCUGUACUCCCAGGAUAAGCACGAGUACUACAGAGGAUGGUUUUGGGGUUAUGAGGAGACCAGGGGUCUAAACGUCUCCUGUCUGUCCGUCCAGGGCUCAGCCUCCAUCGUGGCGCCCCUGCUGCUGAGGAACACAUCAGCCCGGUCCGUGAUGUUAGACAGAGCCGAGAACCUACUUCACGACCACUAUGGAGGGAAAGAAUACUGGGAUCUUUGAAAGGUGGGACUAUUCUCUGCAGCGGGUCUUUUCUGUUGGCGUUGAUUUCCGCAUUGAUGGGGUGACUUUCCAUAGCCACCCCUGGUUCUGUGAGUGAGUGGGAGCAGAGGGCGGGAAGCGGCUGCCCCCUCCCGUGGACACAGCAGGCCUGCUGACGUGUUCACCAGGGCAGCAGCUUGUAAAGCCGGAACCUGCCUGCAGGAGACACAGUCCCUGCUCACGUGGGACUUUGUGCAGGUCAGUCCCACCCCGUUUGGCAAAGCAGGAUGUGCUAACCGCCUAAGCUAGAAGUCGAGUUGGGGAGAGACUGAGGGGAAGGAGCUGCACACAGUUGUGCCAGCCAGGGGCAACGGCCAGCUGAGCCCAGUGUGUGCCUCAGCUUCCCACGGCAGGGGCUGGCAGAGCCGGCAGGGGUGGGCGGCUUGCCCUGCGUUGGCUUCAUGCAGGAGACCCUCCAAGAGCCUCCACCGUGGAUGGCGCUGCUUCUCAGGCGACCGUGGAUGGAGGACGUGUCUGAGGGGCUUGUUCCAGCUGCGGGGACCCGUCGCAGCAUGGUGUUUGCCAGGCACCUGCGGGAGGUGGGAGACGAGUUCAGGAGCAGACACCUCAACUCCACGGACGACGCAGACGGGAUCCCCUUCCAGGAGGACUGGACGAAGAUGAAGGUCAAGCUGGGCUCCGCGCUAGGGGGCCCCUACCUGGGAGUCCACCUGAGAAGAAAAGAUUUCAUCUGGGGUCACAGACAGGAUGUACCCAGUCUGGAAGGGGCCGUGAGGAAGAUCCGCAGCCUCAUGAAGACCCACCGGCUGGACAAGGUGUUUGUGGCCACAGAUGCCGUCAGAAAGGAAUAUGAAGAGCUAAAAAAGCUGUUACCCGAGAUGGUGAGGUUUGAACCCACGUGGGAGGAGCUGGAGCUCUACAAGGACGGAGGCGUUGCGAUUAUUGACCAGUGGAUCUGCGCACACGCCAGUUCAUGAAGUGCCGCUGGAGAGCCAGAGACCAGCUGCGCAGGAGCCGGAGGAACGGGCAGGCCGCUGACCUGAGGUCUGGAGAAACCCCUGGAGAAGGGUGUCCCCCCCAGCCCAUACAGCGUGUGUGUGGAGGGGGGCCUUGACCUCCGUGAUGUCUGCUGUGCCUCAGGAUAAGGAACCCCCAUGCCCUGGCUAGACAGUGUGUGGUUUUUUAUUGGCACCUCAGUCUCAACAUUUUCUUUUCGGAUUCAUGAGGAAAGAGAAAUCCUGGGGUUGGACCCCAAGACGACGUACAACAGGUUCUGCGGAGACCAAGAGAAGGCGUGUGAGCAACCCACCCACUGGAAGAUCACCUACUGAGGAGGAUCCUCCGGGGCCGCUCCCCGGACCCGACAGGCGCGGGUGGAUGCAGGUUCUGUCGCCGUGGAGUCACCGUCUGCCGCCAGCCGGGAGCUGGGCGGACAGGACCGUCCCUCGCAGGGUCCCGGGCCCAGAAGAGGCCCCACGCCUCUAGAGCUGUGCUCCGUCCUCGGCGUUGCCAGCCGCCAUGGCUGAUGAAGAGGCUCCGCUGCUCUCGGGGGCGGCGGUUGUUUCCAGGCAGCGUCUGUGAACCCACAGCUCGGUUGCCAGCAGUGCCCGCGUGGUGACCCAGAAGCAGGAGUGUUUGUCAGGCUCCCGCUCUGGUCUUUCCAGCCACCUUUCAUGUCUUCAUAUUUUAAGUUCAUUGAGGAUAGAUGCAGGCGGGUGAGCUGCCCUCCGUCAGGCGGACCCGGGCUGACAUUUCCCUGGGAGCUGGUGCAAGGAGAAGCGUCAUUUUAAAUGUCUGCAGAGCGACCAGGGGCCUCAUGAAUCCCUCCGUUGCCCUCCGCGCAGCAGGAGGCUGCCUGUGUGUUUCCUCCUGGGAUGCGUGCAAGGCAGACCUGGUGCUGCAAAGGAAGGGCCUGAGGCCUCAGGGAGCCCCGUGGAGGGAUGACAGUUCAGGCCCUACUGCUGGCACGUCAGAGCGCUGGGAAGUUUUUCAGUGAUGUCUCUGGGGCACUCAGUGGAUUGUCUGUAGGAAACUUGCAGCUCCGCUCCUCACACCAGGCCCGGCUGGCCACCCACCCUCGCCCCCACUGCCCCUCCCUCGCCCCGACUGCCCCGCCCUACCCUCACCCCGACUGCCCCGCCCUCGCCCCCACUGCCCCUCCCUCGCCCGGCUGGCCGUCCCUGCCCUCGCCCCGGCUGGCUGUCCCUGCCCUCACCCCGGCUGGCAGGUGCACAUGGGGCCUCCGGGUCUACCAUUCGCUAUUGAGAACUAGAAAUGAGGAAGGACAGUUACGCUAACUCCAAAAGGCUGUCUAGGAUGAGCUGCUUUAUCAGGGAGCUCCUCAUACCCAUUUUACAGAAAUCAUUUUUAGGUCUUUGUGCCACCACCACGAGGGGCAUCUGCAAAGAGGGCAACGCUAGACACAGAAUCCGUGGAAGGUGCAGCAGUGCCUCAGGGGUCCUCAGGGUCAGGGAGCCCCCCUCGCCCUCUUGGCCCGUUACCCUUUGUGACUUUCCACCAUGGUGUCGUGUGACCCUCAGUCAGGCUGGUGGGGGCUGAGUCCUCACUGAGCAGCCACUUUCCACAUCUGCUAGAGGAACAGUGACAUGGACACCUGUGUGACAGAGAGAGGACAGUUAGUGAGGAGGGACAGACAGCUCUUCCCUUCGGAGCCUGGCUAGUCUAGGACAUCACCUUGCUGUGUCUUCUCAAGCUUUUAAAAUUGACCCUGAACGUGUGACAGGGCCCUAUGGUGUUACUCAAAGCUGUGCAGGGUAAAUGAUGACAUAUUUAUUCUUUUUCCAUUUGUUCUAGAAACAGUGCCUUUUUCAUCAGUUGCAUUUUCCAGGCUGAGAGCUGUAUAAAACAUUUUGGACUGUGACCAUGUACCUUCCUUUUUAAGAAAAAUAAACUGCUUUAUGGUAGUUGGUA